GAUGAACGCUGGCGGCGUGCCUAAUACAUGCCAGUCGAGCGAACGGACGAGAAGCUUGCUUCUCUGAUGUUAGCGGCGGACGGGUGAGUAACACGUGGAUAACCUACCUAUAAGACUGGGAUAACUUCGGGAAACCGGAGCUAAUACCGGAUGAUAUUUUGAACCGCAUGGUUCAAAAGUGAAAGACGGUCUUGCUGUCACUUAUAGAUGGAUCCGCGCUGCAUUAGCUAGUAGGUAAGGUAACGGCUUACCAAGGCAACGAUGCAUAGCCGACCUGAGAGGGUGAUCGGCCACACUGGAACUGAGACACGGUCCAGACUCCUACGGGAGGCAGCAGUAGGGAAUCUUCCGCAAUGGGCGAAAGCCUGACGGAGCAACGCCGCGUGAGUGAUGAAGGUCUUCGGAUCGUAAAACUCUGUUAUUAGGGAAGAACAUAUGUGUAAGUAACUGUGCACAUCUUGACGGUACCUAAUCAGAAAGCCACGGCUAACUACGUG
rnacentral:rRNA from 1 species